AGAGUUUGAUCCUGGCUCAGAUUGAACGCUGGCGGCAGGCCUAACACAUGCAAGUCGGACGGUAGCACAGAGGAGCUUGCUCCUUGGGUGACGAGUGGCGGACGGGUGAGUAAUGUCUGGGGAUCUGCCCGAUAGAGGGGGAUAACCACUGGAAACGGUGGCUAAUACCGCAUAACGUCGCAAGACCAAAGAGGGGGACCUUCGGGCCUCUCACUAUCGGAUGAACCCAGAUGGGAUUAGCUAGUAGGCGGGGUAAUGGCCCACCUAGGCGACGAUCCCUAGCUGGUCUGAGAGGAUGACCAGCCACACUGGAACUGAGACACGGUCCAGACUCCUACGGGAGGCAGCAGUGGGGAAUAUUGCACAAUGGGCGCAAGCCUGAUGCAGCCAUGCCGCGUGUAUGAAGAAGGCCUUCGGGUUGUAAAGUACUUUCAGCGGGGAGGAAGGCGAUGCGGUUAAUAACCGCGUCGAUGGACGUACCCGCAGAAGAG
rnacentral:rRNA from 1 species